rnacentral:rRNA from 1 species
GAGUUUGAUCGUGGCUCAGAUUGAACGCUGGCGGCAUGCCUUACACAUGCAAGUCGAACGGCAGCACGGGAGCUUGCUCCUGGUGGCGAGUGGCGAACGGGUGAGUAAUGCAUCGGAACGUAUCCUGGAGUGGGGGAUAACGUAGCGAAAGUUACGCUAAUACCGCAUAUUCUGUGAGCAGGAAAGCGGGGGACCUUCGGGCCUCGCGCUCUUGGAGCGGCCGAUGUCGGAUUAGCUAGUUGGUGAGGUAAAGGCUCACCAAGGCGACGAUCCGUAGCAGGUCUGAGAGGAUGAUCUGCCACACUGGAACUGAGACACGGUCCAAACUCCUACGGGAGGCAGCAGUGGGAAUUUUGGACAAUGGGGCAACCCUGAUCCAGCCAUGCCGCGUGAGUGAAGAAGGCCUCGGUU